rnacentral:tRNA from 1 species
GGGGAUGUAGCUCAACUGGAAGAGCGCCGCCUUUGCAAGGCGGAGGUUGCCGGUUCGAGCCCGGUCAUCUCCACCA